GCAUAGCCCUAAACUAAAGUAUUUUAUAUUACAUUUUACUCGCCAGGGUACUACGAGCAUCAGCUUAAAACCCAAAGGACUUGGCGGUGCUUUACACCCACCUAGAGGAGCCUGUUCUAUAACUGAUAACCCCCGUUUAACCUCACCCUAUUUUGCUUAAUCAAUUUAUAUACCGCCGUCGUCAGCUUACCUUGUGAAAGAAAAAUAGUGAGCAGAACUAGUUAUAACUCAAAACGUCAGGUCGAGGUGUAGUUUAUAAUAGGGAAAGAAAUGGGCUACACUCAUUAAUUAAUGAAUACGGAUGGUAUAUUGAAACAUAAACCUAAAGGAGGAUUUAGCAGUAAGAAGAAAAUAGAGUGUUCAUCUGAAAUCGGCUCUAAAGCGCG
rnacentral:rRNA from 1 species